AUUAUAUGCGUUUGCAGUUCAUAGCUACAGAAUAUGACUGAUUAAUACGAAAAUAUUUUUCAUUUGGGCGAAUGCAAUGAGGAAGAAUUAAAUAAUUAUUUUCUAGUGAUCAUGAACUUUCAGCUCCAAACUUGACUUAUGUGCUUACUGCCGAUUACAUACAUGCAGACGAGGUAACUGGGACUACUCUGUAUAGUCUUUCCUUUCCCGAUCAAAGUAGAGUUAAACAACAUUAACUGCGGACAGGGAC